rnacentral:rRNA from 1 species
GACGAACGCUGGCGGCAUGCCUAACACAUGCAAGUCGAACGGAGAUUACUUCGGUAAUCUUAGUGGCGGACGGGUGAGUAACGCGUGGGCAACCUGCCCUCUAGAUGGGGACACCAUCCCGAAAGGGGUGCUAAUACCGAAUGUGACAGCAAUCUCGCAUGAGGAUGCUGUGAAAGAUGGCCUCUAUUUAUAUGCUAUCGCUAGAGGAUGGGCCUGCGUCUGAUUAGCUAGUUGGUGGGGUAACGGCCUACCAAGGCGAUGAUCAGUAGCCGGUAUGAGAGGAUGAGCGGCCAGACUGGGACUGAGACACGGCCCAGACUGCUACGGGAGGCGGCAGUGGUGAAACUUGCGCAAUGGGCGGAAGACUGACGGAGAAAUGCCGAGGGAGGGAUGAAGGAAGUCGUUCCGGAAAGCACUGUUGUUUAGGACGAAUGUGCAGAUUGUAAAUAAUAAUCGGUAAUGACGGUAGUAAGCGAAGAAGCCACGGCUAACUACGUG